rnacentral:lncRNA from 1 species
CACAUUCUACAUAGUCAAUGUAUAAGAAGGUCUGAAAUUUCGGACGCAAAAACCUUCACCGUCUGAUUUUCCGGAUUCUUAGCCAUGACUGCAGGUCCGAAACGGCAUUCAUUGAAGCCACCACCGCCGCCAUUUUGAUUACCUCGCCGCCUCAAACUGCCACUCUCGCAUGCAGAUCCGCUGGCAGCCGUAGCCACCACCGCAGCACCGCUAAGCCUAGCUACUUCAACGUUCUCUAC